rnacentral:rRNA from 1 species
UUGGCGAACGGGUGAGUAACGCGUGAAUAACCUGACUCAAAGAAGGGGGAGUAACAACGGGAAACUGUUGCUAAUACCGCAUGAGACCACAACACCGCAUGAUGAAGGGGUCAAAGAUUUAUCGCUUUGAGAGGGGUUCGCGUCCCAUUAGGUAGUUGGAGGGGUAACGGCCCACCAAGCCAACGAUGGGUAGCCGAGCUGAGAGGCUGAUCGGCCACACUGGAACUGAGACACGGUCCAG